rnacentral:rRNA from 1 species
AUACGGAGGAUCCGAGCGUUAUCCGGAAUUACUGGGCGUAAAGGGCGCGUAGGCGGCGCUUCAAGUCGUCUGUCAAAUGGAAGGGCUUAACCCUUUUUCGCAGACGAAACUGGAGAGCUUGGGAAGCAGAGAGGCAAACAGAAUUCCUGGUGUAGCGGUGAAAUGCGUAGAUAUCAGGAAGAAUACCGAUUGCGUAGGCAGCUGACCAGACCGCAAAUGACGCUCAUGCACGAAAGUGCGGGGAUCGAACAGGAUUAGAUACCCUGGUAGUCCGCACAGUAAACGAUGAAUACUUGUUUUCGGCGAUAUAAUGUCGGAGGCAAAGCGAAAGCGAUAAGUAUUCCACCUGGGGAGUACGCCGGCAACGGUGAAACUCAAAUGAAUUGGCGGGG